rnacentral:rRNA from 1 species
GACGAACGCUGGCGGCGUGCUUAACACAUGCAAGUCGAACGGUGACGAGGAGCUUGCUCCUCCGAUCAGUGGCGAACGGGUGAGUAACACGUGAGCAACCUGCCCCAGACUCUGGGAUAACAGUUGGAAACAGCUGCUAAUACCGGAUACGAGACGGAGAGGCAUCUCUACCGUCUGGAAAGUUUUUCGGUCUGGGUAUGGACUCGCGGCCUAUCAGCUAGUUGGUGAGGUAAUGGCUCACCAAGGCGACGACGGGUAGCCGGCCUGAGAGGGCGACCGGCCACACUGGGACUGAGACACGGCCCAGACUCCUACGGGAGGCAGCAGUGGGGAAUAUUGGCACAAUGGGCGAAAGCCUGAUGCAGCGACGCCGCGUGAGGGAUGACGGCCUUCGGGUUGUAAACCUCUUUCAGCAGGGAAGAAGCGCAAGUGACGGUACCUGCAGAAGAAGCACCGGCUAACUACGUG